rnacentral:rRNA from 1 species
UACGUAGGGGGCAAGCGUUGUCCGGAUUUAUUGGGCGUAAAGAGCGUGUAGGCGGCUUUGCAAGUCCGUUGUGAAAACUCGAGGCUCAACCUCGAGACGCCGGUGGAAACUGCAAAGCUAGAGUCCGGAAGAGGAGAGUGGAAUUCCUGGUGUAGAGGUGAAAUUCGUAGAUAUUCGCAAGAACACCAGUGGCGAAGGCGGCUCGCUGGCCCGAUACUGACGCUGAGGCACGAAAGCGUGGGGAGCAAACAGG